rnacentral:rRNA from 1 species
AGAGUUUGACCCUGGCUCAGGACGAACGCUGGCGGCGUGCUUAACACAUGCAAGUCGAACGGUGACCUCGGAGCUUGCUCCGGGCGAUCAGUGGCGAACGGGUGAGUAACACGUGAGUAACCUGCCCUUCACUCCGGGAUAACUCCGGGAAACCGGUGCUAAUACUGGAUACGACCCAAGCAGGCAUCCGCAUUGGGUGGAAAGUUUUUCGGUGAGGGAUGGACUCGCGGCCUAUCAGCUUGUUGGUGGGGUAAUGGCCCACCAAGGCGACGACGGGUAGCCGGCCUGAGAGGGCGACCGGCCACACUGGGACUGAGACACGGCCCAGACUCCUGCGGGAGGCAGCAGUGGGGAAUAUUGCACAAUGGGCGAAAGCCUGAUGCAGCGACGCCGCGUGAGGGAUGACGGCCUUCGGGUUGUAAACCUCUUUCAGUAGGGAAGAAGCGCAAGUGACGGUACCUACAGAAGAAGCACCGGCUAACUACGUGCCAGCAGCCGCGGUAAUACGUAGGGUGCGAGCGUUGUCCGGAAUUAUUGGGCGUAAAGAGCUUGUAGGCGGUUUGUCGCGUCUGCUGUGAAAACUCGGGGCUUAACCCCGAGCCUGCAGUGGGUACGGGCAGACUAGAGUAUGGUAGGGGAGACUGGAAUUCCUGGUGUAGCGGUGGAAUGCGCAGAUAUCAGGAGGAACACCGAUGGCGAAGGCAGGUCUCUGGGCCAUAACUGACGCUGAGAAGCGAAAGCGUGGGGAGCGAACAGGAUUAGAUACCCUGGUAGUCCACGCCGUAAACGUUGGGCGCUAGGUGUGGGACUCAUUCCACGAGUUCCGUGCCGCAGCUAACGCAUUAAGCGCCCCGCCUGGGGAGUACGGCCGCAAGGCUAAAACUCAAAGGAAUUGACGGGGGCCCGCACAAGCGGCGGAGCAUGCGGAUUAAUUCGAUGCAACGCGAAGAACCUUACCAAGGCUUGACAUAUACCGGAAACACCCAGAGAUGGGUGCCCCGCAAGGUCGGUAUACAGGUGGUGCAUGGUUGUCGUCAGCUCGUGUCGUGAGAUGUUGGGUUAAGUCCCGCAACGAGCGCAACCCUCGUUCUAUGUUGCCAGCGCGUCAUGGCGGGGACUCAUAGGAGACUGCCGGGGUCAACUCGGAGGAAGGUGGGGAUGACGUCAAAUCAUCAUGCCCCUUAAGUCUUGGGCUUCACGCAUGCUACAAUGGCCAGUACAAAGGGCUGCGAUACCGCAAGGUGGAGCGAAUCCCAAAAA